CGCCUGACUUGCCAGUGCAUGUAUGCUGAGGGCUAAUUAAAAGUUUCCACAGAUAAUUAUUUAAAGUGAUAGAAACAAACUACAAAAAUUCCAUCACCACUAUAUACCGAUGUAGAAAAAGGUGUUGUUAUGACUAUGUCUCACGCCAUCUUGUGAUGUAUGGCUGUCCAGCCGAUGGAUGAAUAGAUUCAAACUGACAGAUGGCGGAGCUAGUUGGAACUCACCCCCUCCCCUUGCCUACCCUCUAUCACCCUCACGUG